rnacentral:sRNA from 1 species
AAGGCCGAACAGUCCCCUAGCCGCACUCAUGCAAAAUACCUGUGUCUGUGUACUUUUUUCAUCCGUCGCUCAGCCUGAGUCUGCAGGUCAGACUUGGCAGGAUUUUGACUUGAUAUAUUGUGUGUGUUUGGAAAUGGGGAAUAAUUCCUAUGCUUAUGUACUGUUGAUGGGAAUAUUAAUUGGUUCAGCCUUUCUGAAGGUCAGUCUAAUGUUACUUGUUAAAAUUUAAAUCUGUAUGCCUUUUGAUACAUCAAGUCCAUAUAUAAGAAUUUGCCCCCAUAGUAAUUCCAUGGACAUACAAAGAUGAGUAUAGGACUGUUUCUUGCAGGGUUCUUUCAAAAUUAUUGCUAGGUUGACUUUUAACUAAAUCCAAGUGAUGUUAUUUGUAAUGUAGUACUUAAAUGUUUUUCUUGUUGUUUUAGCCAAAACUGGACAAGCCAAGGCAUCUGUAGCCAAAGUAAACAAAUCUGCAGGGAAAUCAGCAAGUUCUGUAAAAUCUGUGGUAACGGUAGCUGUUAAAGGUAAUAAAGCUUCAAUCAAAACAGCAAAAUCUGGUGGAAAGAAGUCUCUAGAAGCCAAAAAGACUGGGAAUGUCAAAAACAAAGACUCUAACAAACCUGUGACUAUACCAGAAAACUCUGAAAUAAAGACCAGUAUUGAAGUCAAAGCCACUGAAAACUGUGCUAAAGAAGCUAUUUCUGAUGCUGCUUUGGAGGCCACAGAAAAUGAACCACUUAACAAGGAAACAGAAGAAAUGUGUGUGAUGCUUGUCUCUAAUUUGCCUAAUAAAGGAUAUUCUGUAGAAGAAGUUUAUGACUUAGCAAAACCAUUUGGUGGUUUAAAGGAUAUCUUGAUUUUAUCAUCUCAUAAAAAGGCAUAUAUAGAAAUAAAUAGAAAAGCUGCUGAGUCUAUGGUAAAAUUUUAUACCUGCUUCCCAGUAUUGAUGGAUGGAAAUCAACUCUCAAUAAGUAUGGCUCCUGAAAACAUGAAUAUAAAAGAUGAGGAAGCUAUAUUUAUAACCUUGGUAAAAGAAAAUGACCCAGAGGCAAACAUAGAUACAAUUUAUGAUCGAUUUGUACAUCUUGAUAAUUUACCGGAAGAUGGACUUCAGUGUGUACUUUGUGUUGGACUUCAGUUUGGAAAAGUGAAUCACCAUGUAUUCAUGAGUAAUAGAAACAAGGCAAUUCUUCAGUUAGAUAGUCCUGAAUCUGCUCAGUCAAUGUACAGCUUUCUGAAACAAAAUCCACAAAAUAUUGGUGACCAUAUGUUGACCUGCUCAUUAUCUCCAAAGAUAGACUUACCAGAGGUGCAAAUUGAGCAUGACCCAGAAUUAGAAAAAGAAAGCCCUGGCUUGAAAAACAGUCCAGUUGAUGAAAGUGAGGUGCAAACAGCAACUGAUAGUCCCUCUGUUAAACCUAAUGAGCUUGAAGAAGAAAGUACUCCCAGCAUUCAAACAGAAACUUUGGUACAGGAGGAAGAGCCUUGUGAGGAAGAACCUGAAAAAGCAACAUGUGAUUCUGACUUUGCUAUUGAAACUUUGGAGCUUGAAACUCAAGGAGAGGAGGUCAAAGAAGAAAUUCCUCUUGUAGCAUCCGCUCCAGUCAGUAUUGAACAAUUCACUGAAAAUGCCGAGGAGUGUGCUUUAAAUCAGCAGAUGUUUAACAGUGACUUGGAGAAGAAAGAGGCAGAAAUUAUUAACCCUAAAACAGCAUUGUUACCAUCUGACAGUGUGUUUGUAGAAGAAAGGAACCUCAAAGGAAUUCUAGAAGAAUCUCCAUCUGAAGCAGAAGAUUUCAUUUCUGGAAUUACACAGACUAUGGUAGAAGCUGUAGCUGAAGUAGAAAAAAAUGAAACUGUUUCAGAAAUAUUGCCAUCAACUUGUAUUGUGACGUUAGUACCAGGAAUUCCCACUGGGGAUGAGAAGACAGUGGACAAAAAGAAUAUUUCUGAAAAAAAAGGUAACAUGGAUGAAAAGGAGGAGAAUGAAUUUAAUACUAAGGAAACCAGAAUGGAUCUUCAAAUAGGAACAGAGAAGGCUGAAAAGAAGGAAGGUGUGGAAAAGAUGGCAGCAAUGAAAGAAAAGCCUGCAGAAAACACUUUAUUCAAGGCAUACCCAAAUAAAGGAGUGGGUCAGGCUAAUAAGCCUGAUGAAACUAGUAAAACUAGUAUUCUGGCUGUAUCAGAUGUAUCUAGCAGUAAACCAAGCAUCAAGGCUGUUAUAGUCUCUUCUCCUAAGGCAAAAGCUACAGUUUCAAAAACUGAAAAUCAGAAAAGUUUUCCAAAAUCUGUGCCCAGAGAUCAAAUAAAUGCUGAAAAGAAACUUUCAGCCAAGGAAUUUGGUCUGCUUAAACCCACAAGUGCCAGGUCAGGCUUGGCAGAAAGCAGCAGUAAAUUCAAACCUACUCAGAGCAGUCUUACCAGAGGAGGCAGUGGAAGGAUCUCAGCCCUGCAAGGCAAGCUUUCUAAACUGGAUUACAGGGAUAUAACAAAACAAUCUCAGGAAACGGAGGCUAGACCUUCCAUCAUGAAACGGGAUGACAGCAACAAUAAGACUUUGGCUGAGCAAAACACUAAGAAUCCUAAAAGCACUACUGGUAGAAGUUCCAAAUCUAAAGAGGAGCCAUUAUUUCCAUUUAAUUUGGAUGAAUUUGUUACUGUGGAUGAGGUUAUAGAAGAAGUGAAUCCUUCUCAGGCCAAGCAGAAUCCACUAAAGGGAAAAAGGAAAGAAACUCUCAAAAAUGUUCCUUUCUCUGAACUUAACUUAAAGAAGAAAAAGGGGAAAACUUCCGCUCCUCGUGGUGUUGAGGGAGAAUUAUCUUUUGUAACAUUGGAUGAGAUUGGGGAAGAGGAAGAUGCAGCUGCACAUCUAGCACAAGCUCUAGUCACUGUGGAUGAAGUAAUUGAUGAAGAAGAACUAAAUAUGGAAGAAAUGGUAAAAAAUUCAAAUUCACUUUUUACAUUAGAUGAAUUAAUUGACCAAGAUGAUUGCAUUUCCCACAGUGAACCUAAAGAUGUUACUGUUCUGUCAGUGGCUGAAGAACAAGAUCUCCUCAAACAGGAACGCUUGGUAACUGUGGAUGAAAUUGGAGAAGUGGAAGAGCUACCUUUGAAUGAGUCAGCAGACAUAACUUUUGCCACUUUAAAUACUAAAGGAAAUGAAGGAGAUACUGUAAGGGAUUCCAUUGGCUUUAUUUCUUCUCAGAUGCCCGAAGACCCUUCUACUUUAGUUACUGUAGAUGAAAUACAAGAUGACAGCAGUGAUUUGCAUUUAGUGACUUUGGAUGAAGUAACUGAAGAGGAUGAAGACUCUCUGGCAGAUUUUAACAACCUUAAAGAAGAGCUUAAUUUUGUUACUGUUGAUGAAGUUGGAGAGGAGGAAGAUGGAGAUAAUGAUUUAAAAGUUGAGUUAGCACAAAGCAAAAAUGACCAUCCCACAGAUAAAAAAGGGAAUAGAAAGAAGAGAGCUGUGGACACAAAAAAGACAAAACUUGAAUCCUUGUCCCAAGUGGGUCCAGUAAAUGAGAAUGUUAUGGAAGAAGAUCUAAAAACCAUGAUUGAAAGACACUUAACAGCUAAAACUCCAACCAAGAGAGUUAGAAUUGGGAAAACUCUGCCAUCAGAAAAAGCUGUUGUGACAGAACCAGCAAAAGGUGAAGAGGCCUUCCAGAUGAGUGAAGUUGAUGAGGAAUCUGGAUUAAAGGAUUCAGAACCAGAGCGAAAACGCAAGAAGACUGAAGACUCUUCUUCAGGCAAAUCAGUGGCGUCUGAUGUCCCUGAGGAAUUAGACUUUCUUGUACCUAAGGCUGGAUUCUUCUGUCCAAUUUGUUCCCUCUUCUACUCAGGUGAAAAAGCAAUGACAAAUCACUGCAAGAGUACACGUCAUAAGCAAAAUACUGAGAAAUUCAUGGCCAAGCAAAGAAAGGAAAAGGAGCAGAAUGAGGCUGAAGAAAGAAGCUCUAGGUGAUUGGGGGAAAGGAAAGAAUUCACUAGAAAUUUGUUUAGGGUCCAGUUGAUUUGUGUAUUUUUGUUAUCAUUUAAUUUGUAAUUUUCGUUUCAGAAGCAAAUAUUCGUGUUGUACAAAUUUCUGAUUGCCCUAAAUGUAGAGAGACUGAUGGGGAAAGUAUGAUGGGUUUGAUUUUUAUAUCAAAUCAUCAGGCAUGGAGAAAUAUCUUUUAGAAGUGUUAAAAUAAAUGUUCCUACUGUAUAUUUAAAAUA